rnacentral:rRNA from 1 species
UGGGGAAUAUUGCACAAUGGGGGAAACCCUGAUGCAGCGACGCCGCGUGAAGGAAGAAGUAUUUCGGUAUGUAAACUUCUAUCAGCAGGGAAGAAAAUGACGGUACCUGACUAAGAAGCCCCGGCUAACUACGUGCCAGCAGCCGCGGUAAUACGUAGGGGGCAAGCGUUAUCCGGAUUUACUGGGUGUAAAGGGAGCGUAGGCGGUCUGACAAGUCAGAAGUGAAAGCCCGGGGCUCAACCUCGGGACUGCUUUUGAAACUGCCGGACUAGAUUGCAGGAGAGGUAAGUGGAAUUCCUAGUGUAGCGGUGAAAUGCGUAGAUAUUAGGAGGAACACCAGUGGCGAAGGCGGCUUACUGGACUGUAAAUGACGCUGAGGCUCGAAAGCGUGGGGAGCAAACA